rnacentral:rRNA from 1 species
UACGUAGGGUGCAAGCGUUGUUCGGAAUUACUGGGCGUAAAGGGCUCGUAGGCGGCCAACUAAGUCAGACGUGAAAUCCCUCGGCUUAACCGGGGAACUGCAUCUGAUACUGGAUGGCUUGAGUUCGGGAGAGGGAUGCGGAAUUCCAGGUGUAGCGGUGAAAUGCGUAGAUACCUGGAGGAACACCGGUGGCGAAGGCGGCAUCCUGGACCGACACUGACGCUGAGGAGCGAAAGCCAGGGGAGCAAACGGG